rnacentral:rRNA from 1 species
AUUGAACGCUGGCGGCAUGCCUUACACAUGCAAGUCGAACGGUAACAGGUCUUCGGAUGCUGACGAGUGGCGAACGGGUGAGUAAUACAUCGGAACGUGCCCGAGAGUGGGGGAUAACGUAGCGAAAGUUACGCUAAUACCGCAUACGAUCUACGGAUGAAAGCGGGGGAUCGCAAGACCUUGCGCUUUGGGAGCGGCCGAUGUCGGAUUAGCUAGUUGGUGGGGUAAAGGCCUACCAAGGCGACGAUCCGUAGCGGGUCUGAGAGGAUGACCAGUCACACUGGGACUGAGACACGGCCCAGACUCCUACGGGAGGCAGCAGUGGGGAAUUUUCCGCAAUGGGCGAAAGCCUGACGGAGCAAUACCGCGUGAGGGACGAAGGUCUGUGGAUUGUAAACCUCUUUUGUUGGGGAAGAUAAUGACGGUACCCAACGAAUAAGCAUCGGCUAACUCCGUG